UGGACCUGCGGUGCAUUAGCUAGGUUGGUAGGGUAACGGGCCUACCAAGGCGAUGAUGCAUAGCCCGAGUUGAGAGACUGAUCGGGCCACAUUGGGGACUGAGACACGGGCCCAAACUCCUACGGGAGGCAGCAGUAGGGAAUCUUCCACAAUGGACGCAAGUCUGAUGGAGCAAACGCCGCGUGAGUGAAGAAGGGUUUUCGGCUCGUAAAAAGCUCUGUUGUUGGUGAAGAAGGACAGGGUAGUAACUGACCCUUUGUUUGACGGUAAUCAAUUAGAAAGUCACGGGCUAACUACGUGCCAGCAGCCGCGGUAAAU
rnacentral:rRNA from 1 species